GUGAUCUAGCCAUGGGCAGGUUGAAGGUUGGGUAACACUAACUGGAGGACCGAACCGACUAAUGUUGAAAAAUUAGCGGAUGACCUGUGGCUGGGGGUGAAAGGCCAAUCAAACCGGGAGAUAGCUGGUUCUCCCCGAAAGCUAUUUAGGUAGCGCCUCGUGAACUCAUCUUCGGGGGUAGAGCACUGUUUCGGCUAGGGGGCCAUCCCGGCUUACCAACCCGAUGCAAACUACGAAUACCGAAGAAUGUUAUCACGGGAGACACACGGCGGGUGCUAACGUCCGUCGUGAAGAGGGAAACAACCCAGACCGCCAGCUAAGGUCCCAAAGUCAUGGUUAAGUGGGAAACGAUGUGGGAAGGCACAGACAGCCAGGAUGUUGGCUUAGAAGCAGCCAUCAUUUAAAGAAAGCGUAAUAGCUCACUGGUCGAGUCGGCCUGCGCGGAAGAUGUAACGGGGCUAAACCAUGCACCGAAGCUGCGGCAGCGACACUAUGUGUUGUUGGGUAGGGGAGCGUUCUGUAAGCCGUUGAAGGUGUGCUGUGAGGC
rnacentral:rRNA from 1 species